rnacentral:rRNA from 1 species
GUGUCAGCCGCCGCGGUAAGACGAGGGAUCCUAGCGUUGUUCGGAAUCAUUGGGCGUAAAGCGGGUGUAGGUGGCUAUGUAAGUCAGGUGUGAAAGCCUAGGGCUCAACCCUAGAAGUGCAUUUGAUACUGCGUAGCUUGAGUGCUAGAGAGGUUACUAGAAUUGUUGGUGUAGUGGUGAAAUACGUAGAUAUCAACAGGAAUACCGGUGGCGAAGGCGGGUAACUGGCUAGACACUGACACUCAGACCCGAAAGCGUGGGGAUCAAACAGGAUUAGAAACCCCUGUAGUCC